AACGUUGCUUUUAUCGUAUGAAGUUUCCGAAAAGUGUUUAAAUCGUGAAAAGUUUAUCGCACUUCACCGCUGCACUAAUUCACCCCCCCCCCCUCUUAGUGCCGCUCCGAUCCUAACAAUUGGUAUCAGAGCCACAUUUUUCUACCUUGGUUUAACACCCAAAUAAAAAUGGCUCUUUACGGCUUUCAAGAGGGUCACUCUCUCAUUUGUCCUCCCUUUUUCAAUGGGACGGACUACACUUAUUCGAAAACUCGAAUGAGAGUUUUCUUACUUUCUUUGGAUUUGAAUUUAUGGCACAUAGUCGAAAAUAGAUUUGAAAUGUCUUCUCUUCCAAUGAACCAUUGGAAUGAUUUGGAGAAGAAGAUGUUUUCUUUAAACGCAAAGGCUAUGAAUGCC
rnacentral:lncRNA from 1 species